rnacentral:rRNA from 1 species
CUACGGGCUGCUCCAGUGGGGAAUAUUGCACAAUGGGCGAAAGCCUGAUGCAGCGACGCCGCGUGAAGGAAGAAGGUUUUCGGAUCGUAAACUUCUAUCAGCAAGGAGGAUAAUGACGGUACUUGACUAGGAAGCCCCGGCUAACUACGUGCCAGCAGCCGCGGUAAUACGUAGGGGGCAAGCGUUAUCCGGAUUUACUGGGUGUAAAGGGAGCGUAGGUGGUAAGAUAAGUCAGAUGUGAAAGCCUGGGGCUCAACCCCAGGACUGCAUUUGAAACUAUCUUACUAGAGUGCAGGAGAGGUAAGUGGAAUUCCUAGUGUAGCGGUGAAAUGCGUAGAUAUUAGGAGGAACACCAGUGGCGAAGGCGGCUUACUGGACUGUAACUGACACUGAGGCUCGAAAGCGUGGGGAGCAAACAGGAUUAGAUACCCUCGUAGUC